rnacentral:lncRNA from 1 species
UAGAUCAAGAGAAACGAGAUUCAAGUCGCGAUUGAGGAAAAGAAAAGAUUGUGGACUAAAUUGCAAAAUCUUUAUAUUUUGGUACCAAGGUAAGUUCAUGUGUAAAUAAUGUAGCAUAAAUGUUAUUUUUAAGUUAUUAAUGUUAAUUAUAUGAUAUGCUGAUUUUUAAUCGUGAAAUAUUAUGCUUUGUGGUUAAUAUUGAGUAAUAUGAAAAUUAUGUUUACUACUUGAUAAAUAUGAAUUGCUACCGAGUAUCGGUUCCAAUAUUCCAUGGAAGAUAGCAAAAGUGAGAUCGAGGGAAAAAGCCCGUUUGAACCUUAGGAAUAGAUUAGGAUACAAGUGACAUGUCACUAGGAUGGUUAAGCAUCCGAACUCGUUGAGUUGAGUCCGAGUUCACUUAUGGAUGCGAAUGUCCAAACUCGUUGAGUUGAGCCCGAGUUCGUGAAAUGUAACUAGGCAUCCGAACUCAUUGAGUUGAGUCCGAGUUCACUUAUGGAUGCGAACGCCUGAAUUCGUUGAGUUGAGUCCGAGUUCACUUAGGGGCGGGUUACAUGAUUUCUUGAUUACAUAUGAGGCACUUAUGUGCAAAUUAUCUGUGUAUCCGAGUUGUAUUCCGAUGUGUUGAACGGGUGAAAUUUCCAGUGAAAUGAAAGAACACUUAAGAUGCAAGCGACGUUUUGGUAAGUGUUGUGAAAUGGACACUUUGGACAGGUAUGUUCUUAACCCUCGGGUUGAUAAUAGAUACAACAACGAUAAGGUAGUAAGAUGAUGAAUGAUGUUUAGAAAUAUGAUAUAUGUUUUGGUGAUACCAUGCUAAAGUUGUUUGGUAUAUUUGUAUUGUUAUGUUACUUGUUAUUUACAUAUGAACUUACUAAGCAUUUAUGCUUACUCCCUCCUCUUUAUUUACUGUAGUUUUGAACAAGCCAGUUCGGGAAUCGGGACGGGUCGAAGGUUCGAUCACACUAUCCAAAGGACUUUCAUCUGGGUAAAUGGCUUGUAAAACUUAAGUAUGGCAUGUAUAGC